rnacentral:lncRNA from 1 species
AAACAAAUAUGGAUGCUACUCUCUUCCUGACUAAACAUGCUGUCAGAUUAUUUGUACAACCUUUCCCCUUCUCCUAAUAUUUGGUAAAUGUAGUUUACAUUACCAUUGAGUAAAUUCAAAUGUUACAAGCUGGUUAGGAAAACUUGGUUGAGGCAGCUGGCUUGGUACUGAUUUAGGACCAGUGUCUGUGGCAUCAAAAUCAUCCUUGAAAAUCCUGAGGUCUCCGGUUUACCGUGCAUUUUGCGAUUUUCCCACUACAAUCCUGCGACCAAAGAUAUCAGAAAGCAAUUGAAAUUAGCCAAAGCACUAUUAAAAAAAAUUGAUGUCUGAAACAUUUUUAUGUGGUAUGCCCUCUUACCAGGCCCCUGAGGGCUAAAUAGCUAAUUCACCUUGCUGAGUACUGCCGGUUAUCCUCUCUUCUUCCAAUAUCCAAACUUCCUGCUGUUGUAGCCGCAAUAAUCGUAAAGUCCUCACCAUCCUACAUCAAACUCAACCACCAACGCAAGGAAAGAGAGGUAAUGAUGCAAGUAAAACCAUGAAAUAUUAAAAAGGUUGAAUAUACCAUCCAAAAUACC